rnacentral:rRNA from 1 species
UGAGUACGAGCUGCUACGGCAGCGAAGUGGGUGAUGUCAAGCUUCCAAGAAAAGCCCUAUACCCGUUAAGGCAUGAUGGCCUGUACCCGAAACCGACACAGGUGGGGUGGUAGAGAAUACCGAGGGGCGCGAGAUAACUCUCUCUAAGGAACUCGGCAAAAUGGCCCCGUAACUUCGGGAGAAGGGGUGCACCGCAAGGUGGCUGCAGUGAAGAGGCCCAGGCGACUGUUUACCAAAAACACAGGUCUCCGCUAAGUCGCAAGACGAUGUAUGGGGGCUGACGCCUGCCCAGUGCCGGAAGGUUAGGAAGCUGGUCAGCGCAAGCGAAGCUAGCGACUGAAGCCCCGGUGAACGGCGGCCGUAACUAUAACGGUCCUAAGGUAGCGAAAUUCCUUGUCGGGUAAGUUCCGACCCGCACGAAAGGCGUAACGAUCUGGGCGCUGUCUCGGAGAGAGGCUCGGCGAAAUAGAAUUGUCUGUGAAGAUGCGGACUACGUGCACCCGGACAGAAAGACCCUAUGAAGCUUUACUGUAGCUUGGUAUUGUGCCCGGGCUCUGAAUGCGCAGGAUAGGUGGGAGGCUUUGAUCCAUUGCUUGUGGGUGAUGGUGAGCCACUGGUGAGAUACCACUCUUUCAGAGCUAGGGUUCUAACGGUCACCCGUUAUCCGGGGACCGGACAGUAUCAGGUGGGCAGUUCGACUGGGGCGGUCGCCUCCUAAAAGGUAACGGAGGCGCGCAAAGGUUCCCUCAGGCUGGUUGGAAAUCAGCCGACGAGUGUAAAGGCAGAAGGGAGCUUGACUGUGAGACCAACAAGUCGAACAGGGACGAAAGUCGGCCUUAGUGAUCCGACGGUUCUGAGUGGAAGGGCCGUCGUUCAACGGAUAAAAGUUACUCUAGGAUAACAGGCUGAUCUCCCCCAAGAGUUCACAUCGACGGGGAGGUUUGGCACCUCGAUGUCGGCUCAUCGCAACCUGGGGCUGAAGUCGGUCCCAAGGGUUGGGCUGUUCGCCCAUUAAAGCGGUACGCGAGCUGGGUUCAGAACGUCGUGAGACAGUUCGGUCCAUAUCCGGUGCACGCGCAGGAACAUUGAGAGGAUUUCUCCCUAGUACGAGAGGACCGGGAGGAACGCACCUCUGGUGUACCAGUUAUCGUGCCAACGGUAAACGCUGGAUAGCCAUGUGCGGAGCGGAUAACCGCUGAAAGCAUCUAAGUGGGAAGCCCACCUCAAGAUGAGUGUUCCCAUGGCAUAAGCCAGUAAGGUCACGGGAAGAACACCCGUUGAUAGGCUCUACGUGGAAGCGCGGCAACGCGUGAAGCGGAGGAGUACUAAUAGACCGAGGGCUUGAC